UGCCAGCCGCCGCGGUAAUACAGAGGGUGCAAGCGUUGUUCGGAAUUAUUGGGCGUAAAGCGCGCGUAGGCGGAUAGUUAAGUUUGAUGUGAAAGCCCUGGGCUCAACCCGGGAUGUGCAUCGAAAACUGGCUAUCUAGAGUCCCAGAGAGGAUGGUGGAAUUCCCGGUGUAGAGGUGAAAUUCGUAGAUAUCGGGAGGAACAUCAGUGGCGAAGGCGGCCAUCUGGCUGGUGACUGACGCUGAGGUGCGAAAGCGUGGGUAGCGAACAGGAUUAGAUA
rnacentral:rRNA from 1 species